rnacentral:lncRNA from 1 species
AGGUCUUUCACAUCUUUUGUCAGAUGGACCUCUGCGUAUUGUCUAUUUUUAUACAGUUAGGAAGUGGUAUUUUCUAAUGUCAAUAUCUGAUAGUUGAUUACCAUUUUAUAGAAACACAAUGGACUUUGUAGAUCAGUCUUGUUAUUCUAUUAACCCUAUUCAUCUCACUUAGUAAUUCUUGUAGCUUUUUUUUUGUUUUUUAUUCCAUCGGGUUAGAUGGUCACAUUAUCUGUAGGUAAGAUUGUUUUCUUUUUCCUUUCUCGUCUGUAUGGCUUUUAUUUCUUUUUAGGGGCCUAAUUGCACGAGCAGGAACCUCCAGGUCAAUGUUGGAUGGAGGUGAUGAAGGCAGACAUCCCAGCCUCCUUUCUGUUCUUGGUGAGAAGAUGUUCAGUCUUCCACCAUUGGUUGUGGGGUUUUCAUAGAUAUCCUGUAUUAGGUUGGGAAAGUCCCCUCUAUUCCUAAUUUACUGAGUGGUGUUUUUUAAAAAAAUCAGGAACCAAUGUUGGAUUUUUCAAAUGCUUUUCUGUACCGUUAAAAGAAAAACUUUGGACAAAUUAAACUUAACAGAGUUUAAUGAAGCAAAGAACCACUCGCUAAUUGGGCAGCCCCCAGACCCAAAUAGGUUCCGAGAGGCUCCGGUACUGCUGCAUGGCUGAAGAUUGGUGGACAGAAAAAGGAAAGGAGGUACAGAAAAUGGAAGCAAAGCCCAGAAACCACCAGAGGGGCUGCAGCUCGACGCUUGCCUUAUCUGAACACGGUUGGAAUGGCCGGCACCCUUGAUGAGCGGAAACCCGGGUGUUGCUCUGUCACCCAGGCUGGAGUGCAGUGGUGCCAUCACAGCUCACUGCCAUAAGGUCCUGAUCCAGACCCCAAGAGAGGCUUCUCGGAUCCUGUGCAAGAAAGAAUUCAGGGUGAGUCCACAGCGCAAAGCAAAUACAAGUUUAUUAAGAAAGUAGAGGAAUAAAGAAUGGCUACUCCACGGACCAAGCAGCCCCGAGAGCAGCUGGUUGCCCAUUUUUAUGGUUAUUUCUUGAUGAUAUGCCAAACAAGGGGUGGAUUACUCAUGCCCCCCCUUUUAGGCCAUAUAGGGUAACUUCCUGACAUUGCCAUGGCAUUGGUAAACUGUCAUGGCACUGGUGGGAGUGUAGCAGUGAGGACGACCAGAGGUCACUCUGGUCACCAUCUUGGUUUUGGUAGAUUUUAGCCGGCUUCUUUACUGCAACCUGUUUUAUCAGCAAGGUUUUUAUGACCCGUAUCUUGUGCCGACCUC